GUGGGGAAUUUUGGACAAUGGGGGAAACCCUGAUCCAGCCAUGCCGCGUGCGGGAAGAAGGCCUUCGGGUUGUAAACCGCUUUUGUCGGGGAAGAAAUCCUUCGAGCUAAUACCUUGAGGGGAUGACGGUACCCGAAGAAUAAGCACCGGCUAACUACGUGCCAGCAGCCGCGGUAAUACGUAGGGUGCAAGCGUUAAUCGGAAUUACUGGGCGUAAAGCGUGCGCAGGCGGUUGUGCAAGCCAGAUGUGAAAUCCCCGGGCUUAACCUGGGAACUGCAUUUGUGACUGCACGGCUCGAGUGCGGCAGAGGGGGAUGGAAUUCCGCGUGUAGCAGUGAAAUGCGUAGAUAUGCGGAGGAACACCGAUGGCGAAGGCAAUCCCCUGGGCCUGCACUGACGCUCAUGCACGAAAGCGUGGGGAGCAAACAGGAUUAGAAACCCCUGUAGUCC
rnacentral:rRNA from 1 species